GGAAAGGGAGGCCGCUCCACCCGACUGGAGAGCAUCAGACACUGCCAGGAGCACUCACUCAGUGGACUGUCCAGCUUUGAAUCCAGACUGAUAUCUGUUGAGGAGAUGGUUCUGGGUGAGGAAUUCAGAAAGUUGAUCACAGGCUGCCCAUUGUAGAGUUUUAGACAGGAAGGAAGACUGGUUUGUAGUUUUGGACUGAGUCAGCAUCCAGAGUUUCUUUAGCAGAGGUGAAAUGUGGGCAGUUUUGAAGGCAGAUGGGAAGCAGCCAGAGGAGAGCAAGGAGUUGAUGAUCUUGGGGAUGAAGGUGGAGAGAUGGUCUGUAGGAGUGUCUAUGGGAUCGGAUCGGUCAAGCAGGUGGUGGCUCUGUGCGACAGCAGGAGGGGCUCAUCUAGCCUUGGGGGGUUCAGCUGUACAUGGACCCCUCCCGGAACGAGACCAUUUGGACCAGCUCUUUCUCUUGGCUCUUCUCAGGGUAUCUGUGUAUCUCUGGGAAAAAGGAUUGCUCAACUCACUCACUCCUCCUUUCUCUGGGAACAUCGAUUGCACAAUCCCUCACUACAUGGAAUCUGAUCAACAUGGCUAUGACCGUGGGGAAGACAUUUCACGUGUUUCAGACUACAGCUUGAUUGUGCUGGCGGUGGCAGGUAGUGGCUUUGGAAAGAGGCAUUUCGAAGCAGGCUUAAUGCUGUAGCUACAAACACGAAGCACACCCUCAGCAGACUCACAGGACUGCAUGGACGUUCGAAAGCAACUCAAAGCUACAAUGGAGAAUGUGGGGCAACGUACAGGAAAGGAACCUAUGCAGGAACGGGAACCCACCCUAAUUCCCCAUCGGCAACUCCGCUGCAAAAGUCGAGACCUCAUUUCCACGUGUCCUUUUCCAAUGGGACUUUUGGAGGUUCUAAAGAAUAACUUAUUAAUAAAGUGAAACUUGGCCUCUGCA
rnacentral:lncRNA from 1 species